UGGGUCAACUAGACGGUCGCGGCAUUGCCGAGGAACGUCCGGGCUCCAAAGGGCACGGAGGUGGGUAACGCCCACCCGGGGUAACUCGAGAGAAAAGUGCAACAGAAAGUAAACCGCCCGCAAGGGUAAGGGUGAAACGGUGGUGUAAGAGACCACCAGCAGUCUGGGUGACCAGAUUGGCUAUGUAAACCUCUCCGGGAGCAAGACCAAGCAGAAGGCGUUUGAGAACUGCCCGUUCGAGUCUUUGGGUAGGUUGCUAGAGCCUGUGAGCAAUUGCAGGCCGAGAUAGAUGGCCGUCAGUGCUUAGGCGCUACAGAACCCGGCGUAUCGGUUGACCCAUCUC
rnacentral:RNase_P_RNA from 1 species